GAUCCCUUUUAAAACGGCCGAGCGUAUUAAACACCAACGGCAGCCAGCAAAAUCCCCUGUUCUUCAGCUGCCGACCGCAGCUGAACUGUAUAGGGAGCAUAGGAUGCAGCUCUUGUCGGUUCUUUCUGUAGUGAAGAGUGGUUUCACUCCCACCGCCCAACACUUGAACCAUUUCCUCCUCUUCCUUUCUCGCCCCAAAAAAUUCAAACUCAUCAUUCACUUAUUCGAAUCAAAUCAAUUCAGCGCUGACUCCAAGCCCCCUAGAAUCUUCAUACAAGCACUUGCCGAAGAGAACAGAUUCGAAGAGGCACUUCAGCACUUGAAAUUGAAUAGUCCUACCCAGGUGUACAAAGACAAACGCCUAUAUGAUUCUUUAAUUCAGGGCCUCUCUCAAACAAACCCCGGAAAGGCGCUUUCUUUACUGUAGGGAAAGAUGUUUUGAGAUUCAUGGGUUCUUUAGUGUUGGUAUGCCCGAGCUUGCUGUUGAGUUCUUUAACAAUGCUGUGAAUUCAGGAGGAAUUAAAGCAAGUGAAAUGUAAGUUGGAAGCUUCUAUGAACCUCUAGAUUCCCACUUUACACCAAGAAGAGCAAAUCUCAAUGACCAAAGCUAGGUGCUUAAAAACUUCGGACGAUGGACUUAGCAAUAUUCUUUCUGAAGAAGUACAGGGGAAUUUGGACCUUCUUGCAAAGGCCAUUUGAGACUUUGUAGCAUUUUUAUCUGCACUUUUGCAAACUGUACAUGAAAGCUUUAGACAAUGUCUCAUUGUCACUCCCCGUGUUGUUGCAGAGAUCACAAGCUCCAUCACUGGAAUGCUGGAUUUCUGAUUGUUAUUCUGGAAAUGGAUGGAAUUUGCAAUUUAGAAGACAUUUUGAUGAUUGGGAGAUUGAAGAUGUUAACUUCUGCUUCAAAAGUUGAGUUCACUGGUGAUAAUAGAAGAGAGGACUCAGUACAUACACAGCCACUAGCGAUGAGAAGUUCUCAGUUAUAUCCUGUUAUAAAAUGUUGCAAGCUCAAGGAGACAUAGUAGAUGAACAAUGGCCAGCUAAAAUAAUCUAAGACCAACGUUCCUCCUAAAGCGGCAUGUUUUGGAUGGUUUGCAAUGCAUGUGUAAUUCCAGCCUCUGUGCUUGCAGCAUAUCUGGUUGAGUAGUAGAAUAUUAAUCCCUUUGCUGUGGUUAGAAGAGCUCCUCAUGAAUUUGAAAUCGCUUGCUUAUAGGUCAGUUUCUUGAUUAAGAUUUGCUUCUUUUUUUUUGUUAAUAGAUUUUUUAGCAUUUUAUGCAAAAGAAGUUUUGCACGUCUACGAAAGCCAUGAGACUGGGGAGGUUUUCAGACUAUUGCUUCACUGUAUUGAUGAUUUACAUUAGAUUGAGUGCUUCUCUCUGUUAACUGAAAUAAAGAGGACUUACUUCUAUGUUGAGUUCUAUCUUCGGUUUUUUGCUAGCUUAAGGGAGUUAUUGUUCAUAAUGAUUAUACAAUGUAACUAAGAGAGAAUAGAUGGGUAUUUAGUGCGUUUGAAUUUUGAUACACGAAAACACACUGUUUAACACGGCAGAUUUCCAAAUGCUCAAAUGUACAUAGUGGUUACUUGAUAUACUCAGAUUUGGAUGCCAUUUAACUGAUCUUACUGCUCUUUAAGCUGGAUGAGAAGUUAGGUUGUUUUGUGUGCUGCUCUUUGAUAAAUGGACCUUGGGCCUAACUCAACCCCAAAUGCUAGCUUAUAAGGUGAGGAUGCCCAAGAUCAUAUAAGGAGACCAAAGACCUCAAAUCCCACCGAUUUGAGACAAUUCAACACCACCUCUCACGCCCAGACCUGCAAACUGGAGCGUGGACAACAUAAAUGGGGGUCGAACAUUGGUAACAAUAACUGGGAUGGGCCUGGCUCCAAUACCAUUAUAAAUGGACCUUGGACUUAACUCAGCCCAAAAAACUAGCUUAUAAGGUAAAGAUUGCCCAAAAUCAUAUAAGGAGACCAAAGACCUCAAAUCCCACUGAUGUGGGACAAUUCAACACCCUUAAUAUAUGGUUGUGCAGAAACAUCAAGAUUUGUUCGAUGAAAUAGAUAAUCUGCAAGAUGGAUAUAAUGGCUAAUAAGGGAAAACAUAAAUCUUUGGAAACAUCUUGUAAUAUAAGAGCAACAAUGAUUCUUCUUUUUUCUUUUUCAUAUUUGCAUUUUGUUUUGUUCUUCUUUAGUUUUUCACGGGCUCUCUGCGAAUAACAACGUAGCAAAUUCUUGAGAGCAAGGAGCAUUUAAUUGAUCAGUUGUGCAGAAGAUAUAAUUAUUAUUUUUGAGUAAUUUAUCUUAUAACAUGAUAAAUGGACCUUGGGCCUAAAUCAACCCCAAAAACUAGCUUAUAAGGUGAGUAUUGCCCAAAACCAUAUAAGGAAACCAAAGACUUCAAAUCUCACUGAUGUGGGACAAUUCAACAGCAACAACAACCCAGUAAAAUCCCACAAUUGGGGUCUGAGGAGGGCAAAAUGUACACAGACCUUACCCCUACCCCAAGGGGUAGAGAGGUUGUUUCCGAUAGACCCUUGGCUCAAGCAGACGAAAAAGACAAUAUAUCAGUACCAACAGUAGAAAGCAUAAAAAUAAUAACAGAAUCAAAAGUACCAGAAAAUAGAUGAAAAAAAAUAACAGUAGCACAUAAGAAAGGCUCGGUACUAUGAAAAGUGAAAGAGAAGUGUGGACACAACAAUAACCACUAGCACUCUAGGACACAACCCUCUCCGACUAGCCUCUCACCCGGUGCGGAGUAGCAAAUAGCGCCGCUACCCCCUGUCCUACAACCCUAAUGCUAGACCCCCACACUUUCCUAUCAAGGACCAUGUCCUCGGAAAUUUGAAGCCUCGCCAUGUCCUGCCUGAUCACCUCUCCCCAAUACUUCUUGGGCCGCCCUCUACCUCUUCUUAUACUUGUCAAAGCCAACCGCUCACAUCUCCUUACUGGAGCGUUUGGACUUCUACUCCGCACGUGCCCGAACCAUCUGUGCCUAGCUUCCUGCAUCUUGUCAUCCAUCAGGGUCACGCCCACCUUCUCCCGAAUAUCUUAAUUCCUAAUCUUAUUCAUCCUAGUGUGCCCGCACAUCCACCUCAACCUCCUCAUUUCUGCUACUUUCAUCCUCUGGAUAUGCGAGUUCUUAACCGACCAACACUCUGCCCCAUACAACAUGGCCGGUCUAACCACGGCUCUAUAGAACUUACCUUUGAGCCUCAGUGACACCUUCUUGUCAGGACUCCAGAUGCUAACCUCCGCUUCAUCCACCCCAUCCCUAUACGGUGCACAACAUCUUCGUCAAUCUUACCAUCCCCUGAAUAACCGACCAAAGGUACUUGAAACUGCUUCUCUUGGGGAUGACCUGUGAUUCAAGCAUCAUGUCCACGCCCACUUCCCUCGACUUGGCGCUGAACUUGCACUCUAGGUAUUCUGUCUUAGUUCUGCUAAACUUGAAACCCUUAGACUCAAGGGUCUGUCUCCAAACCUCCAGUCUCUCGUUAAUGCCGCCUCAUGUCUCAUCAAUAUGGUGCGUCAGUGCGUCCAUCACCGGGGCAAAUAAAAAUGGGCUAAGCGCAGAUCCUUGAUGCAGCCCUAUAACAACUGAAAAAUGCUCUGAGUCGCCUCCCACCAUCCUAACCCGGAUCUUAGCUCCCUCAUAUAUGUCUUUAAUCGCCCUAAUAUAAGCAACCGACACGCCUUUCGCCUCCAUGCAUCUCCAAAGAACCUCCCUAAGUACCUUGUCAUACGCUUUCUCCAGGUCAAUAAACACCAUGUGUAGAACUUACUUCUUAUCCCUGUAAUGUUCCACCAACCUCCUAAUAAGGUGGAUAGCGAUGUGGGACAAUUCAACACUCUUAAAAUAUGGUUGUGCAGAAACAUCAAGAUUUGUUCUAUGAAGUAGAUAAACUGGAAGAUGGAUAUAAUGGCUAAUAAGGGAAAGCAUAAAUCUUUGGAAACAUCUCGUAACAUAAGAGCAACAAUGAUUCUUUCUUUUUUCUUUUUCAUAUUUGCAUUUUGUUUUGUUUUUCUUUAGUUUUUCACGGACUCUCUGCGAAUAACAACGUAGCAAAUUCUUGAGAGCAAGGAGCAUCUAAUUGAUCAGGCAGAAGAUAUAAUUACUAUUUUUGAGCAAUUUAUCUUAUGCAUGUAGCUAUCACAACAAAUGUAGAAAAAUAACCUGUUAACUUUUAAAUUGAAGGAUGUAUGUUAAAAAAGGGCAGUCCGGUGCACUAAGCUCCUGUUAUGUGCAAGGUCCGGGGAAGGGCCGGACCACAAGGGAUCGUACGCAGCCUUACCUUGCAUUUCUGCAAGUGGCUAUUUCCACGGCUCGAACCUAUGACCUACUGGUCACAUGACAGCAAUUUUACCAGUUACGCCAAGGCUCCCCUUCAACACCAAGGCUCCCCUUCCAAAGGAUGUAUGUUACUAUUCUCAAAAAAAUAAAAAUAAAAAACUUUCAAAGUGCAGGAUGUAACAGCAUUCUGCUCUUCUGAUAAGAAUCCUAUCCCUUCUAUGCUGGUUUUAGUAACAGAGAAACAGAUGAGAUCAGCUACGUCAACGUUGGAAUAAUCUAAAGGAAAUAUCCUCACCAUCAACCCAAGGGUCAAAUUGUUAUAAAUCGCUACGUAGAUACAAAAUCAUAUACCUCCCUUUGUAGUGUUGUCAAUGAUACAUUUCUAGCCAUGUCCUCAUGUGAGCGGGUAUUAAUUUUUCCCUUUUCUUGUAUUGUAUGAGUGAUUCAUUGGCUAUUUAUUUAGCACAUGAUAGAGUAAAUUAGAAGUUUGUGAUCUCUUGUGCUUCAAUUUUUUUCCGUCUACAAGGAGAUAUAGGGUGUAAUUAGAUGUAUAAGAGUCACUUAAACCAUCAUGUUCACUUUAAUGACUCAACAUCUUGUCUAUUUAGUCAUCAAUGUUAUUUAGAGACUUAAACUCCCUCUACAUGACACCUAGAACAUUUUUAAACGAGUGAACAGUUAGCUGCUUAGAAUUAAGAAGCUUCUUUUUUGUUAUAAAAAAAGUGCUGACAUGACGAUUAGAUCAAUUUCAUUCAUGAAGAAGAGGGAGGAGAAUCUAUUAAUAUCAAGGACCUGUGAUCCUGAUUUAUUAUUAGCAUCAAGGUUAGGGAUAUCUUUUUCCAAGGGAAAUUUUUUAGAACUAAACAAUUUUUGGUGGAAUUACAGUAGGUUCACUUCACUCAAGUUCUCUCUCCUCUCCUGUAGAAGCUCAACUUCUUCACGUUCAUCAUUUUUGUUUCAAAAGAAUGUAUCUGGUGCA